rnacentral:rRNA from 1 species
CAGUGGGGAAUAUUGCACAAUGGGCGCAAGCCUGAUGCAGCCAUGCCGCGUGUGUGAAGAAGGCCUUCGGGUUGUAAAGCACUUUCAGUCGUGAGGAAGGUGGUAGUGUUAAUAGCACNAUCAUUUGACGUUAGCGACAGAAGAAGCACCGGCUAACUCCGUGCCAGCAGCCGCGGUAAUACGGAGGGUGCGAGCGUUAAUCGGAAUUACUGGGCGUAAAGCGCAUGCAGGUGGUUUGUUAAGUCAGAUGUGAAAGCCCGGGGCUCAACCUCGGAAUUGCAUUUGAAACUGGCAGACUAGAGUACUGUAGAGGGGGGUAGAAUUUCAGGUGUAGCGGUGAAAUGCGUAGAGAUCUGAAGGAAUACCGGUGGCGAAGGCGGCCCCCUGGACAGAUACUGACACUCAGAUGCGAAAGCGUGGGGAGCAAACAGGAUUAGAUACCCUGGUAGUCCACGCCGUAAACGAUGUCUACUUGGAGGUUGUGGCCUUGAGCCGUGGCUUUCGGAGCUAACGCGUUAAGUAGACCGCCUGGGGAGAC